UUGAUAAGCUUCAUGUCUGUUAUGUCAACUCAAGACUUCGGGGUUAAUACGCUGACAUUCAAAAGAAACAGGACUUUAUUAAACUGAAGACUAACAUGAAGUGCCAAGAAUAUUGCGGGCAGUGAAAACAAAGUCUUGUUGCAAGAUGUUCUUGGAUAUGACUAUUAUGAUUGUAUACAAGAGGUCUUCUACACACCAAUCAAGAUACCUGACAACUGUGAACUACUCCAGACUGACUUUGAAUCCCUCGGCAAUGGGAAACCAUAUGGCAAAUGGAGUUCAGGCCCAACAAAGGCAAAAUUUUAAAUUUCACCUGCUGUCAAACACCAAAAAAAUUCCCAUAUUCAAUCCACUCCCAACAACUACCCAACAUGCCACACAAAUACCUAAGCAUCACACCAUAUAUUAACACUAAAUUUAACACACAUACAGACAGUAUACAGCAUAAAGCAAACAGAACACUGGGUUUAUUAAGGAGGAAUCUACAUGGGUGUGCAAGACACAAAACACAUAACUUACAACACAUUUGUAUAUCCAACACGUUAGCAUUGCGCAGCCGUGUAGGACCCACACACAGAAGCAAAUAUUAACAAACUACCAAAGAUAACCACCAUCACACCCAGGUUCAUUGCAAACAAUGACACAAACUGCCAUGACAACAGGUAUCAAACAACUAAAUAAUGACACCCUCACAAUAUGCAGACAAGCACACAGAUUAACAGUUAUGUUUAAAUUAACAAACAGUCCAAUUGACAUAAUUACUUACACCACACAAACACAACUAAUGGAUGUAACACCCGCAACCAGAAAUAUAUAUAACAUACCACACUAGUAUAGAUUCCUACAAAUCCACAAAGCAGACACCUUCCACCAACCCACAUUAGCACAUCUCAGAACACAUACAUAAAAUUCGAUGAUAAGCCACCCUUACCCUCCUUUCCCCCUUCCUUUUGCUCCCUCCAAUAGCCAACUUACAUAUGAGUAUUAUAUGCACUAACGGAAUUGAGAUUGAGAAGAAACACUACCGGAAGUAUCAGAAGUACUCCCAAGAAAGUUUUAGCCAGAAGUUCCAAGACCAGAUGUUGGAAGAUGAACGAGACUAUCACCAAGUUAGACCAAGCCCAAGUUAAGCAUGAAAUAUUUUUAUAACUGCUUUUUUUCAGAAAUUUCAGCCAUUAUUGUUCAGUUUGUCAUGUUUCUGGUUUUGUGUGUGGUUUGUGGCCAGUCCCAUCCUGCAUGAUGUGGAAUGCCUGUCUAAACCUGGCAGACUUUUUCUUCAAAUUUUUUCACUAUCUGAAAUGUAUGGAUGUAUGUAUGCAUAUGUAAACAUGUAUAUAAACAUAUAAAUGUGUAUAUA